GACGAACGCUGGCGGCGUGCUUAACACAUGCAAGUCGAACGGUGAAGCCCUUCGGGGUGGAUCAGUGGCGAACGGGUGAGUAACACGUGGGCAAUCUGCCCUGCACUCUGGGACAAGCCCUGGAAACGGGGUCUAAUACCGGAUAUGACCUGCUCCCGCAUGGGGGUGGGUGGAAAGCUCCGGCGGUGCAGGAUGAGCCCGCGGCCUAUCAGCUUGUUGGUGGGGUGAUGGCCUACCAAGGCGACGACGGGUAGCCGGCCUGAGAGGGCGACCGGCCACACUGGGACUGAGACACGGCCCAGACUCCUACGGGAGGCAGCAGUGGGGAAUAUUGCACAAUGGGCGCAAGCCUGAUGCAGCGACGCCGCGUGAGGGAUGACGGCCUUCGGGUUGUAAACCUCUUUCAGCAGGGAAGAAGCGCAAGUGACGGUACCUGCAGAAGAAGCACCGGCUAACUACGUGCCAGCAGCCGCGGUAAAAC
rnacentral:rRNA from 1 species